GUACAGGUGCCUCUCAAACAAAGCUAUAUAUAGCCCAGGAAAUAAUAUUAAGGUAGCAUAUUCAUGUAUUAUGAUUUCUCCUGGCUGUUUAACUGUAACCUGUGUAAUGCUUGACUUAUUUUUAUUUAUUUUUUCUUCCUUUUACAUUCUCAGAUAUUAUUGUACAUAGUGUUAUUUAUUUAUUUAUUUAUUUGUUUGUUUGUUUGUUUUAUACCAUUAAUGUAAUGUUUGUCUUCUUUCUCUUUUGAGUACUGAUUUCCAUCUAGUCUUGAGUGCAAAGUUUAGCUCCAGCCCCAAUCAUGUACAGCUGAACCAGCUGAUUUAGGUCUUCAGGAUUACCAUAGACUUCCAAGCAGGUGUGUGGACAGGUUGGAGCUGAACUCUGCCAGAUGUUGGUCCUUCAGGACACCACUGUUCUAAACAAAGAGCCACCAGGUUGCUGCAUCUGUAAUAUGAUGGAACAAAAAGUAGGCUGGCCACAGCAUCUGAAAUGGAAGGAGCAGAAGAACAGCAAUCAGGCAGAGCUCUACUGUUGCCCCUUAGAG